GUGGUUAUUCAAGUCAUACCAGAAUCAGAUUCAGAAGCAGAGAGACGUGCAGUGUUCGAUUUGGACACGAUAGAAUUAGACAGAGGAAGCCAGUCCACCGGCAAGGAAUUCCAAAGUAGAAUGCAAUCCUCGAGUAAUCAGCAAGUGAAAAAAAUGAAAACAUCUCUGCAGGAAAAGG